GACAGGGGGGGCACGCGUUCUCCGGAAUUAUUGGGCGUAAAGCGUCCGUAGGUGGUUUGACAAGUCUGGGGUUAAAGCCCGGAGCCCAACUCCGGAUCGGCCCUGGAAACUGUCAGACUUGAGUAAGGUAGGGGUUGCGGGAAUUCCCGGUGUAGCGGUGAAAUGCGUAGAUAUCGGGAAGAACACCAGCGGCGAAAGCGCGCAACUGGGCCAUUACUGACACUGAGGCACGAAAGCUAGGGGAGCGAAUGGG
rnacentral:rRNA from 1 species